rnacentral:rRNA from 1 species
GACGUAGGGCGCGAGCGUUGUCCGGAUUUAUUGGGCGUAAAGAGCUCGUAGGCGGCUUGUCGCGUCGAUCGUGAAAACUUGGGGCUCAACCCCAAGCCUGCGGUCGAUACGGGCAGGCUCGAGUUCGGUAGGGGAGACUGGAAUUCCUGGUGUAGCGGUGAAAUGCGCAGAUAUCAGGAGGAACACCGGUGGCGAAGGCGGGUCUCUGGGCCGUUACUGACGCUGAGGAGCGAAAGCGUGGGGAGCGAACAGG